rnacentral:lncRNA from 1 species
AUAUGUGAUGUAUGUGAUGCGGGUUCAUGUGUGCCCACAUGAACCAUAUGAUGCUAAUGUUUAUGUGUUGUGUACUGUUUUUCAGAAAACAGGAUGAGAGGAACUCGUCGAUCAGCAAGAUUGACUGGAGUACCACCUGAGGAUGAGGGCAUGAGCGCCCGUCCUCCAGCAUUGCCUAGGGCAAUGUCUAGUAGGUCUAACAGAGAAAGAGCAGCAAAAGACCCUAGAAGGUCUUUGGAUCUGGGUAGAAGCAGAUCAGUCAGAGGAACAGUUCAGGGAGGAAUGUCUGAGGGCAUGGGGGAUGAUAUGGAUGUAGAGCAGAGGAGGGAUGGCAGUCUGGGAGUUAGCAUGUCAGAGGAAGGUAUGGGAGAGUCCCAAGGAGGCACUCAGGCCUCGGGAUUUG